rnacentral:rRNA from 1 species
UAGGGAAUCUUCCGCAAUGGACGCAAGUCUGACGGAGCAACGCCGCGUGAGUGAAGAAGGAUUUCGGUUCGUAAAACUCUGUUGUUAGAGAAGAACAGCGCAUAGAGUAACUGUUAUGCGUGUGACGGUAUCUAACCAGAAAGCCACGGCUAACUACGUGCCAGCAGCCGCGGUAAUACGUAGGUGGCAAGCGUUGUCCGGAUUUAUUGGGCGUAAAGCGAGCGCAGGCGGUCAAUUAAGUCUGAUGUGAAAGCCCCCGGCUCAACCGGGGAGGGUCAUUGGAAACUGGUUGACUUGAGUGCAGAAGAGGAGAGUGGAAUUCCAUGUGUAGCGGUGAAAUGCGUAGAUAUAUGGAGGAACACCAGUGGCGAAGGCGACUCUCUGGUCUGUAACUGACGCAGAGGCUCGAAAGCGUGGGUAGCAAACAGG